AUUUCCCUUGACUAGGAAUCCAAAGCGGGUGCAAGACCUGUACGUGCUGUUAGCUUUUCGUACGCGUUCAUUUCUUGGAGUAGGAUUGUUUGAGAUCGCAGUCCGAAGUAGGUGGUACUCUUCAUCUAAAGCUAAAUAUGACUAUGAAUCCGAUAGCGAACAAGUACCGUGAGGGAAAGUUGCAAAGUACUUUGAAGAGAGAGUUCAAAAGGACGUGAAACCGAUAGGGUGGAAGCAGAUAAAAUUGACGAACGGGUGUCGUAUUCAGGAUUGCAUCUUGUGUGCAGUUUGUUCUUACGGCCGUUGUGGGCUGGCGGCUUUGGUUAAUGCAAUGUGUUUGGCAUCGAAGGUGACCCUGUGGAGGGACUUUCAUUCGUUGUGCGAUUCUUGGUAUAGCUAAGGUUAUCGCCGGUCUUGAAGUCAGUGAUUUAUCUGACCCGUCUUGAAACACGGACCAAGGAGUGUACUGUUUGCGCAAGUCUUAGAGUGUGUUGAAACUUUGAGGCGCAACGAAAGUGAAUAUAGCUGGAUCUAUUGUCUUGGGAUAUGUUGUCUCUUGUGGACGGCAUUGGACCAUGGUUUUAUCGCGAUCGCAUGCGGUGCGGUGAAAAUUGAGCGUAAACAGUGCGA
rnacentral:rRNA from 1 species